AGAAUCAACGCUGGCGGCGUGCCUAACACAUGCAAGUCGAACGAGAAAGGGUAGCAAUACCCAAGUAAAGUGGCGCACGGGUGAGUAACACGUGACUAACCUACCCUGGAGUGGGGGGAUAACUGAGGGAAACCUUAGCUAAUACCGCAUAACACCUACGGGUCAAAGGAGCAAUUCGCUUCAGGAGGGGGUCGCGGCCGAUUAGUUAGUUGGCGGGGUAAAGGCCCACCAAGACGAUGAUCGGUAUCCGGCCUGAGAGGGCGCACGGACACACUGGAACUGAAACACGGUCCAGACUCCUACGGGAGGCAGCAGUGGGGAAUUUUGCGCAAUGGGGGAAACCCUGACGCAGCAACGCCGCGUGGAGGAUGAAGUACUUCGGUACGUAAACUCCUUUCGAUCGGGACGAUAAUGACGGUACCGAGAGAAGAAGCCCGGCUAACUUCGUGCCAGCAGCCGC
rnacentral:rRNA from 1 species